CCAGAACCAAUCCCAACAUGAAGGUAUUUUAUCUGCUCUUCGCAUUCCUUAUACUUGCAUUCCUGCCUGAACCAGGGAAUGCUUGUUCCGAGUGCCGGAAAUGUAAUGCACACUGCAUGCGGCCUCCCUGUCCUAUAAACCACAGGAACCUUGGACCAAAGGAUUGUAUCAACCAAGAAGUGUGCUGUUUUCGAUACCACUCAGAAGAAUAAUGCCAUCUUCUUCAUCUACUGCCUGGGAUGUCUUCAAGAUCCGGCCAAUGACCUGACAUCACUGCUGGCUAUCGCUUUACCUUUCUUUAUAUAAAUCCAAAUUGCUGUCUAUCAGACUCUAAAACAUUUAUGCCUUGAAGUAAAAUGUGGCAACUCUUCCUUGAAAUACAGCUA